UCUCCAAUGACCGCGAGGCGGCGCUGGUGGUGCGGGUGGUGGAGACCGUGGCUCGACUGUGCCCGGGCGCCCAGCGACCGUCCGUGGCCGUCAUCACCCCGUACAAUCACCAGAGGAAGCUCAUACAGGAACAGCUCGGGCAAAGCCCGGCCAAGACGCUCGCCGUGCAGGUGGGCACAGUGGACGGAUUCCAGGGCCAGGAGAGGGACGUGGUGGUCCUCUCCUUCGUGCGCUCCAACUUCGUCGGCGACCUGGGCUUCCUCGGUGACCUGCGUCGACUGAACGUGGCCCUCACCCGCGCCAAGAACUGCCUCUACAUCUGCGGCGACCUCGGAACGCUGUCCAAGAAUGCCGACUGGAACGAGCUUAUUAAGGACGCAUAUGCCCGACAACUGGUGGUCAAGGACACCAGCGGACUACAAAACAUCCUCAGCUGCUGGAGCGCUUUCUGCUUCUGAGGGCAACAUAACACUCAGGUUCGCAUACUCGCCGAUAGGUGGCACCGCCAGCGGCCAACCGCGCUGAACAAAUCAAACACUGACGUGAGACGGACGCGGCAGUCUGGCCUGUUUCGUUCAGCGUUGCUUUCAUCGUACCUGAAGGCUGUGAUGGGAACGGUGCGCGUGCUGUGGAGGGUCCCGUCCUUCGGUGUCGGCGGGUGGUUGGACUCCAUUUGGUUUGGUUCGGUCUCGGGAGAAGACGAGGGAGUGGACACGCUCCUAACAGUGAUAUCAGAGUUCGGUACUCGGUCAGGUGAACUCGUCAGUACUCUGUUUCUGCCAGGUACGCCCGCAGAUGUGAUAGUCGAGAGCAGUGAUUGAGACUUUUUCAAGUGUUACUGUUCCUGGUCAAUGUGCUCGGCCUUCAUGAAGUGUAUGAUGUUGACAUAAUUAGUGUAUUUGAUACAAUCCUGAGCUUCGUUUAUGUGGCGUGUGGCCUAGUGAUUUUAUUUUUGAAUGCAACCUUGCAGGCUACUGAACCUAGGAGGAGCCAUGUAACUCAAAGUGUUAGCGGUGACACGUUGGAUGUGAUUUGGAAGUGCCUGGUACCGGGAUGGACCUCCGCUCUGGCCGGGAGGCCGCCCAGUCUUUGGUGUCGGUUGGUGACAGCCCCGGUAACGUUAGAGACUUUUCUAACGGAAUGGUGGCAGGAUGUUCGUCUUUGGUCGUGGGUGAAAACGGCAGGGGAUGCGAUGAAAUACAGAAUGAAUCAUGCGUCA